rnacentral:rRNA from 2 species
AACGGCGAGUGAAGAGGAAAGAGCUCAAAGUUGGAAACUGUUUGGCUUAGCUAAACCGUAUUGUAAACUGUAGAAACAUUUUCCUGGCACGCCGGAUUAAUAAGUCCUUUGGAACAAGGCAUCAUGGAGGGUGAGAAUCCCGUCUUUGAUCCGAGUAGUUGUCUUUUGUGAUAUGUUUUCAAAGAGUCAGGUUGUUUGGGAAUGCAGCCUAAAUUGGGUGGUAAAUCUCACCUAAAGCUAAAUAUUUGCGAGAGACCGAUAGCGAACAAGUACCGUGAGGGAAAGAUGAAAAGAACUUUGAAAAGAGAGUUAAACAGUAUGUGAAAUUGUUAAAAGGGAACCGUUUGGAGCCAGACUGGUUUGACUGUAAUCAACCUAGAAUUCGUUCUGGGUGCACUUGCAGUCUAUACCUGCCAACAACAGUUUGAUUUGGAGGAAAAAAUUAGUAGGAAUGUAGCCUCUCGAGGUGUUAUAGCCUACUAUCAUACUCUGGAUUGGACUGAGGAACGCAGCGAAUGCCUUUAGGCAAGAUUGCUGGGUGCUUUCGCUAAUAAAUGUUAGAAUUUCUGCUUCGGGUGGUGCU